GACACCAGACGUGACUAUACUGCGCUCUGUUGUCCUCAAAGGCAUUCCCAUUGUUGUCGACGAUGACUCUAGUGAAUUCUACAAGACAUGCUUUUUCCUCCACAGUUCAUCCGCUAGGUGCAAGGAAUUAACACAAACAUUUGAUUUUGUUUUGUCAAAUACUACAAGAUAUGCAAAACCUAAGUUCAGCAGUUCAGUUUCAAACCACACCUUUUUUUUAUUUGAGCUAAUGUUUUAUACUUGUGUGUAUAAAAUUUUUAUAUUUAGGGACAGACAACUGUAGAAUUGAAGCUGAAUAAUAGAUAAAAUUCAUAUUGCUAUUGCCAUAGUGUAACUUGCAUUAAAAAAAUCACAGUAUGGACAAUUUAAAAUUAGUUUCAAAAUACAUAUCAAAUACAAGAGAGGAUGGAGAACAGUCAUUAUUAUUUUAUUGGUUAUUGUGAGGUUAUUACAUAAGAGAUUUGAACUACAACACAAGCAAACAAAACAUUACAAUUGGAUAAUAUUUACAAUAAUAUUGGAAUCAUCAGCCAAAAUAAUAGCAAUAUCAUACUUGCUUAUUGUUCAGCUCAGAUCUGUCCAAUAUUUAAUGUUGGUUUAAUUACUUUUUUGGCAUUUGAAAAUAAAUGUUAUUCAGCUGAAUCAAUCCAAUGUUCUCAAUGUAUUGUUUAUUAGGAAAUUAUCAUUUACACAAUGUGUUAAUAGAUAAAUUAUCAAGUGCUGUUGUAAAUCUUCCCUCAGUUCAAAGAAAUUAAUUAAGGGAACCUGAUAAAUGAUUGAGGCCAAUUAAGAUUGGUCAGUGAUUUAAAUAGGGUUCAGUUUGUAUCAAGCAGUGCACAGAAUAAGUUAUCACACAAGUAUAGAAGUUAUCACAAAAUGUUGCUAUUAAAUUACAUAGUACAAUUAACAAACUUUUAAAGUUUACAAAACAGGAAUUAAAUUGCAUGGGAACACACCAGGACAGAUCUACCAAAGUAAAACACAAAAUAUGGAAAGACUGCAAAAUCAGGGAAUGGACUGAGACCGGACCAAACAGGAGACAGGACUACACUAAAACAUGAAGACAUAGGACUAAGGACUUGCAGAUGAACAUAAACUAAGCUACAAAACCCUAAACAAGACAAGAUCAAAUAAUGAAACACAGAAAUGCACAGACCAGGAAUAACAUUUACAUGAACUAAAGCACAGAACUAAGCACUAAGGCACUGGACUAAGAACUGAGGCAAAGAACUAAAAUGCAGGAAGAAGACCUAAGAUAAGAGACAAGACAUAAAUAACUACGGACAAGGAACGAGAUAAACAGAGGCAAAUGGAAAGACACAUGAAACAAUGGCAAAAACCAGAAACACACGGGGGGGAAAAAAAUACAACUCAAACAUAACCCAAAACUAAACUCUUUCCAUCAUGCUUUUAGGGGAGCUGAUGUCUUAAGGGGGGCUAAGCUCCCCUUGGCUUCCCCGUAGUUUGCACCCUGGUCUAUUUUAUAUCCUUUAUUAUAUCUAGACAUCUAUUUUACAAAAUCUUGCUCAUUUCGUAGCCUAUUUAAUGAAAUUAUGUCAAAUCACAUUCAGACUAACAGGAGAUAACAAUGGAAAAACUUACUUUCAACUACAUUUCUUUUGUUUGUCAGGGGAAAUAAUUCCUUCCCAAAGAAUACAGAGUCAAAUAGAUGUGCUGAAUCAUUCCUUUAUGUAACGUGGCCACGGAGAGAACGCACGGUUACACUCCCAAACUCAGCAUUUCCUCUCCUUAAGUACAGAACAAGUACAAAGCAAACAGCCAACAAAUGGUGAAGGAAAACAAAUGGCAGAGUAUUAGCAUACGCUCAAACUCUUCCUGAGCUAAGAAAGGAAAUGCAAAUGUAUGUGGCAUCAGAUGUUUCUCUCUCUUGAUUGGUAAACUCUCACCUACAUGCCAGCAGACGUUUAUCGUAAAUCAGCCUUUGACUAGAAACCAAUGCUAAUUUCUCACAAGUUAGUUACAGUGAAAUUCUAAAAAUGAGCAACUUAUAAUGUAUUUCUCACAUGUUUCAGCUGCACCAGUCAUCCUCACUCAGAAACAUUCACGUCAUAUCCAACAUGAUUAGGCUACUAUCAUAUGGAUGUUUCAGUCAGUGUGACUACAAUAUGAAAGAUUAGUCCAUUAAUCAGUUUUAUACAGUUUAGUGUUGCCUAGGCUUCUGCAGUAAUGUAGUUUAUGGUAAGUGUUUCGGUGCAACUGUUUCCAACCUGACAGUUGCCUUAAGUCCACAGAGUCACGGUAUUAUAAAGGACAGUGUAGCCUAUAGAUUUUAUUCUGUGCUUAGGAUAAAUCCACAAUGUCCGGAGAUUAUCCUGUCAUUGAUGACAGAUUGAUCAUAAAAGCCGUCACCUUCAAGUUCAUGUUUGGGUUAAAAAAACUAAUAGCCUACCUAACCGGGAUUUCGAUGCUUCUUAAAGGAGACCUAUUAUACUGCUUUUUCAGCAUUGUAGUUCUGUUACCCCCGUAUGGCAGCUUUGCAUGGCUUUAUUUACAUGAUUCAAGUUAAAAAAAUUUUCUAUACUGUCCCUUCAUGUAGGCCUUCAUUUCAGCCUCUGUCUGAAACAAGCUGUAGAUGCUCCUGUCUCUUUAAGGCCUCCCCUCUCAAAACCCACUGUCUUCUGAUUGACCACGAUCUGAAUCAUGUUACCAGGCUGCUGUUGUCGCUGUAUAAGAUUUUGGGUGGAUAUUGGUCGAAAUAUUGGCAGAUUUUCAAUAAAAUACUCAAAAGUAUAUUUUCUUAGUUGUUACGGCCACCACCGUUAUCUGUGUUUGUUGUGUAGCUGUGUCAUGUUAAGCAGGAUGUGCGAUCCCUUGCCGAGGAUUGGCUGGCGCGAGACCUGAGGCGUCUGGCAACCUCCUCCAAUCAUCCACCACCUUCCAGAUCAUCCCCCGUUUCAAUCACUGCCUACCUGUUGAACUUCGCAGUUGUGAUUUUGCCCUUGAUUAACUUACCUCUUUUGUAUUGUGUUCUAUUGUGGUAAUCGUGUCAACUGCUGUAGGAGCUUUUGUUCAAGUGAUAAGUGUAAGAUCUUAGUGUCGGUGUGUUACCUUACCUUGUGAAUUGUGUUAAGGAAGCAGGGCAAGUAUCUUAGUGGGGAUUACUGAUAUCAACCAGAUAUGUCACCUGCAGUUUAAGUUUGUUAGACACGCUAGGCUUAAAGGGUGCUGCUCAUUUUGUAUUUUGUUUCUUGCUGAACCGGUCAGUUUUGUUUGAAUUUGAAAAAGCAAGUGGCCAUAUCUCAGUUGGAGAGACGUCUUAAGUUGAUUUUCACUUUUUAGAGCGUUGUCAAUCAAAUCCAUUCCACUUAAGGAAUGCACUAAUAAAUUAAACUCCAUUUUUUGAUGCUGCUGCUUCUUCAAAUCCACUCAUUUACAGUAAGUUCUAACUGUUAAAUGUCUAACAAACUAUUUGAAGCAAAUCAAUUAAACCUUAAUUCAGAUUUUCACAAAACUUUAGUUAUGAGUCAUUAAUUUGAAUGUCACUUGAUUAUAAUGUUUCUUUUAAUAAGUCAAUAGUAAGUUGAUGUUAAGUUUAAUAUGGUAACAUGAGCUAUUUUGC